rnacentral:rRNA from 1 species
UUGGAUUAAGUGGAAUGAAUGACGAAUAUCAUCUAAAAGUAUUGGAUAAGGAUGCAGAAAAGGAAGAAGCUAAUUCUAAGUUUGUUACAGAGUUCUUAAAUGCUACUAAGAUAAAAGAUGAUAAGUAUAAGACUAAGAUGUUUAAAGCUUUUGUGGACUCUUAUAUAGCACAUUUAUAUAGUGAUAUGAAGCAGGGCGAAGAUGUAAGAGGAAUGUUACUUUAUAUGCUAAGAGAAAAACAAAAACUUGAUAUAAAUGAGUUUGCUGAUAAGGCGAUAAAGGAUGAUUUAAAAGAUAGUUUUAAGGACCAUAUAGAAGAAAAAGGGAUUGAAAGUUUUAAUAUUGAUAAAAAAUGGGUUGAAAAGAAUUUAAAAAAUAGACAUAUAAAAACAGAUACAGGUUUUGAGAUAAAAGGCAAGAUGGAUGAUUUUGAGGAUUUUAUGAAGUAUGGUAUUAGACAUAAUGGGAAUGGAACUGUAGAUAUAGUUAUUAAAAAUGUUAAUUUCUAUAAUGAGAAGUAGGUGCUCAUAUGAAAUAUGUAGCUAGUUUUAGUGGAGGAAAAGAUUCAGCAGCAAUGCUCCUUUUGAUAUUAGAAAAGAAAUUACCUCUUGAUGAAAUUGUAUUUAUAGAUACAGGGCUAGAAUUUGAAGAAAUUUAUGACAUAAUAGAUGGUUUUGAAAAAAGAAUAAACUUUAAAAUAACAAGAAUUAAAGCAGAAAAAACCUUUGAAGAAUACUUUUAUACUGUUAAUAAACAAGGUAAGCAUAAAGGGCAAAUAUGGGGUUUUCCAUACACCUUGGGAGCAUGGUGUAAUAGUCGAUUAAAACUUGCUCCUGCUAAUAAAUAUUUCAAUUCGAUUGGAGAACACAAGCGAUAUAUCGGAAUUGCCUUUGAUGAACCUAACAGAUAUAAAAGACUGGAAAAAAACUGUAUAGCACCACUUUACGAAGCAAAAAUGACUGAAAAAGAUUGUUUGAAAUAUUUAGAAGAAAAAGGAUUUUAUUAUGAGAUACAUCACAGAUUCAAGCGAACUGGUUGCUAUUUAUGCCCUAAACAAAGCUUAGAUAGCCUCAGAACAUUAAGAAAAUAUUAUCCCGAUUUGUGGGGGAGUAUGCUUAAAUUAGAUAAAGAUAGUCCUGUACCUUUUAGAGCUAAUGGGGUCACAGUACAUGACCUAGAAAAACGAUUUAGUAAUGAAGAUAUAGAAAAUGAAAGACAGAUAAGUUUCUUUCAAACAGAGAAGGUGAGCAUAUGACUAAUAAAGAAAUGUGCAAGUCAAAUAAUCUUGAUGAAAGAGAAGUGUAUAAGAAAUUUGGGAAAGAGAUUUGUGGUAGUUGCAUAAAUGAUAAGGUAGAUUGCGAAAGCAAAGAUUGUGAUACAACAUAUAAAAAUUGGUUAGAAAAGGAGAUUUAAAAAUGAAAAUAAAUUUAAAUGAUAUUCCAGAAGGAUAUAAAGUAGCUGUUAUUCCUAUACUUGAGGCUAUAAAGAGAGCGAAAGAAGAUGAAAAAGAAUUAAGAGAAUAUUUAAAGGAAAUAGAAGAGUGUAAAAAAAUAAAUAUAUCAAUUGUAAGAAAAAAUGGUACUAAAAUACCGCUUACUUUUACAAAUAAAGAAUUAAAUAUUCGCUUAAAAGAAGAAAUUAAACUAGCUAUUAAAUGUAUAAAAGAAGAAGCUACUGAAAUAAAGGAAUUAUUAAUUAAAAUGGAAAGUGAAGGAAACAAAUAGUCUAGGUUUAAAUAAUUUAAGUAGUCAAGGUAAGUUUAUGAAUGAAACUAGAAUGUUAUAGACUUACUUUGACUUAUAAAAGAGGUGCGAUUAUGAUUACUACUCAAAUGUAUAAGAUAAAUAAUGAGAUAUAUCUAAAUAAUAUAUGUUUGGAAGAAAAUAAGGAAAUUACCAUAUGGGUAGAAAAGAAUAACACACAUGAACUUAUAUGGUUAAAAAUAGCGAAUGUAAAUGGAAAGUUAGCUAUAUUUGUACAAGAUAUUGAAAAUGCUGUAAUAAAAGAAUGGCAAGGUCGUAAAGAAUAUGAAAGAGUGCUAGGACAAAUAGAAGAUAAACAAGUUGAAAAAGGGGAAAUAUUGUAUGAAGAAUACUGGAAAUAAAGUUGAGAUAAACAACAUACGAGAGUUAAAUGAUGCUUUAAAUAAGUAUGAUAUCCCAUUUGGCAUAUUAAGUGAUGUAGAUAGAAGAAUAUGUGACUGGAUGGCUACUGGUGGUAAUGAAGAUGAUGCUUAUAUUAAACAACAAUAUAGAUACGUAGAGAAUUUUAUAAAUAGAUUUUGCGACUAGGGAGUGAGAUUAUGAAAAGGAGCAGUCAAUAUGGUUAUUACAGAAUUUAAAGUGACUUGGCAGACAACAAGAGAAUGGGAAAAAGGGAACGUAUACAGCUCUAUAUUUACUGACUUAGAAGAAGCAAGAGCUUUUAAAAAAGAUGAGGAAAAUAUAAAAGAAAAUUAUAAUGUGAAGCUUUUAAGUAGAGCUAUAGUCGAAAUUGAAAUAGAUUAAAUAUGUGAGUUAAAAGGAAGUGAUUCUUUGAAAAGGAUAAGAUGCAGUUGGUGUGGCAAAUUAUUUUAUCUUAAGGAAAAAUCUAAGGAUGUUUAUUGUUGUAAAGAAUGUAGGAAAAAGGCUAAGAAGGUGAAAAAAUGAAAGUUUUUCUUGUAAUAGAUGGAGAACCAAUUGGUAAAGAAAGACCUAGGUUUAUUUUGGCUACUAAAAGGACCUAUACACCUAAUAAGACUAGAGAUUAUGAGGAACUAAUAAGAUGGUUAUAUCAAUCUAAAGUUAAACAUUACUUUGAAGGUUAUAUAAAAAUGACUUUAAGAUGUUACUAUUCUAUAGCUAAAAGUAAUAGUAAAAAGGUUAAGGAGCAGAAAAGAAAUAAUGUGUUAAGACCUAGUAAAAAACCCGAUAUUGACAAUGUUGUUAAGAUUAUAGCUGAUUCACUCAAUGAGAUAGCUUAUAAGGAUGAUACACAGAUUGUUGAGGUUGUAGCUAGUAAAUAUUAUAGCGAUAAUCCCAGGGUUGAGGUUAUAUUAGAAGAUGUUAUCUAACCAACGGAAAAAUCCGUUCGUUAAAUUAUGCCCUUAGUUUUUCAUAAAAAUGUGAAAAAGCUAAAUAAAGAAUAUAUCAAACGACAAAGGAGAGAUAAAUUAUGAAUGAAAAUAUAAAUAAAGAAAUAACAGUACUUGGAACUUUAGAAAUCGAGGGAAUGAAAUUUCAUAACAUUGAGGGUGGAUUUGGAGAACAUAAGAAAGCAAUGCUAGUAAAAGAUAUAGCCGAGAUACAUAAUAGAGAAUCUAGACAGAUUAAUGAGCUUAUAAAUAAGAAUAGAAAAAGAUUUAAAGAUGGAAAAGAUAUAUUAGAUUUGUUAGGUGUCGGUUUGGACGAUACCAAAAUAAAAGAAUUAGGAUUUACUCAACAAUCAAUUAAUUCUUAUAGAGGGUUAAAAAACAAAGGGUUAUUAUCUGGGAUUUAUAUAUUAUCUGAAAGAGGUUAUGCAAAAUUAUUAAAAAUAUUAGAAGAUGAUAUAGCUUGGGAAUUAUAUGAGAAGUUAGUUGAUGGAUAUUUCUCUAUGAGAAAAGAACUAAAUAAUCCUCUUUUAAGUGCAUCAAAGGAGUUACAGGCUAUAUUUAUGCUAGAUAAGAAACAAGAAGUCUUAGAAACUAAAAUAGAGAAUGUUAAUGAGAAAUUAGAGAACUUUAUGGAUGAUGCACCACUAUUCAAUAUUGAAUGUGAAAGUAUUGUAAAAGAAGUUAAGAAGGUAGCAACAAAAUCACUAGGAGGUCAUGGAAGUAAGGCUUAUAAAAAUAAAUCUUUAAGAGGUAAAGUAUACAAUGAUAUAUACCAUCAGAUUAAACGAGAGUUUGGAGUAGAUAGUUAUAAGGCUAUAAAGCGUUGUCAAUUAAAUAAAGUAUUAGAGAUUGUAAACAAUUAUAAGUUACCUAUAGUGUUUGAAGAAGAAAUAAGACUUUUAAAUAGUCAAUUAUCAAUAGUAAGUUAAAUUUAUUCAAAAAAAAGGAAAAGGAGUGCUUUCACACUCCACUUGUCAAAAAUAUAAAACUUUUAUCCAAGAUUAUUAUAACAUAAACAGGAGUGUGGAAGUAUGGAUAAUAAUAUCAAUAAAAAAGAACUAUUUAAAAAAGUAGAAGGUAGAUUACAUCAUUAUAAAUUUUUAAGUGCAGAAAUUAAGAAUCUUGAAUUAGAUAUAGAAAGUAGAGAAAAUA